GACGACGCUGGCGGCGUGCCUAAUACAUGCAAGUAGGACGAGUUGCGAACGGGUGAGUAACGCGUGGUCACCUGCCUAUUAGAGGGGGAUAACUACUGGAAACGAUAGCUAAUACCGCAUACUAGUAGAUGGACCUGCGGUGUAUUAUCUAGUAGGUAGGGUAAGGGCCUACCUAGGCGACGAUCCCUAGCUGGUGUGAGAGGUUGACAGGCCACACUGUAAGUGAGACACGGUCCAGACUCCUACGGAGGGCGGCAGGGGGGAAUUUUGCACAUUGUGCGCAAGCCUGAUGCAGCCAUGCCGGGUGUAUGAAGAAGGCCUUCGGGUUGUAAAGUACUUUCAGCGGGGAGACGUUACCCGCAGAGGAGGCACCGGCUAACUCCGUGCCGGCAGCCGCGUAAUAC
rnacentral:rRNA from 1 species